UUGUACGAUCAUAUUAGCACUAAUGCAUCAGAUUCCAUUGGAACUUUGUAGUUAAAGCGUGCUUGGGUGAUGUGUAGUAGUUUUAUACAUAACAGUUGUGUGAG
rnacentral:rRNA from 1 species